rnacentral:rRNA from 1 species
GUGGGGAAUAUUGGACAAUGGGCGCAAGCCUGAUCCAGCCAUGCCGCGUGUGUGAAGAAGGCCUUAGGGUUGUAAAGCACUUUCAGGGGUGAGGAAGGGCGUUUGGUUAAUACCCAGAUGUCUUGACGUUAGCCCCAGAAGAAGCACCGGCUAACUCUGUGCCAGCAGCCGCGGUAAUACAGAGGGUGCAAGCGUUAAUCGGAAUUACUGGGCGUAAAGCGCGCGUAGGUGGUUUGUUAAGUAGGAUGUGAAAUCCCAGGGUUCAACCUGGGAAUGSCACCCGAUACUGGCAAGYUAGAGUAUGGUAGAGGGGUGUGGAAUUUCCUGUGUAGCGGUGAAAUGSGUAGAUAUAGGAAGGAACAUCAGUGGSGARGGCGACACCYUGGACUGAUAYUGACAUUGAGGUGGGAAAGCGUGGGGAGCAAMCAGGAUUAGAUACCCUGKURKUCCACGCCGUAAASGAUGUUUAYURGCCGUUGGGUCGUA